rnacentral:rRNA from 1 species
AACCUGGAAACAGAUGCUAAUACCGGAUAACAACAGAUGAUGCCUAUCAACUGUUUAAAAGAUGGUUCUGCUAUCACUCUUGGAUGGACCUGCGGUGCAUUAGCUAGUUGGUAGGGUAACGGCCUACCAAGGCGAUGAUGCAUAGCCGAGUUGAGAGACUGAUCGGCCACAUUGGGACUGAGACACGGCCCAAACUCCUACGGGAGGCAGCAGAG